AAUUUGCAUGAGGGAUGGAAAUGGCAUCCUUUUGUUUUGCUUCUUUAGCAAAACAAAAGAUAGAAUGGACAGCCCGACCUCGU
rnacentral:sRNA from 1 species